CCUACGGGAGGCAGCAGUGGGGAAUAUUGCACAAUGGGGGAAACCCUGAUGCAGCGACGCCGCGUGAGUGAAGAAGUAUUUCGGUAUGUAAAGCUCUAUCAGCAGGGAAGAAAAUGACGGUACCUGAUUAAGAAGCCCCGGCUAACUACGUGCCAGCAGCCGCGGUAAUAAGUAGGGGGCAAGCGUUAUCCGGAUUUACUGGGGGUAAAGGGAGCGUAGACGGCAGCACAAGUCUGGAGGGAAAUGCCGUGGCUUAACCCCGGAACUGCUUUGGAAACUGUGCAGCUAGAGUGCAGGAGAGGUAAGUGGAAUUCCUAGUGUAGCGGUGAAAUGCGUAGAUAUUAGGAGGAACACCAGUGGCGAAGGCGGCUUACUGGACUGUAACUGACGUUGAGGCUCGAAAGCGUGGGGAGCAAACAGGAUUAGAUACCCCUGUAGUC
rnacentral:rRNA from 1 species